GUAGGGAAUAUUGCGCAAUGCCCGAAAGGGUGACGCAGCGACGCCGCGUGAGGGAUGAAGGCCUUCGGGUUGUAAACCUCUGUCGCCCGGGAAGAACACCGGCGGUGUGAACAAUGCCGUCGGUUGACGUUACCGGGAAAGGAAGCACCGGCUAACUCUGUGCCAGCAGCUGCGGUAAUACAGAGGGUGCAAACGUUGCUCGGAUUCACUGGGCGUAAAGGGCACGUAGGCGGGAGAGUAAAUCAGUUGUGGAAUGCCAUCGCUUACCGGUGGAAUUGCAACUGAAAAUGCUCUUCUUGAGCGCAGGAGGGGUGAGGGGAACUCUAGGUGGAGCGGUGAAAUGCGUAGAUAUCUAGAGGAACGCCGGAGGCGAAAGCGCCUCACUGGCCUGCUGCUGACGCUGAGGUGCGAAAGCCAGGGGAGCAAACGGGAUUAGAAACCCGGGUAGUCC
rnacentral:rRNA from 1 species